GAGAGAGAGAGAGAGAGAGAGAGAGACUGGAGAUGGGAGUGGCGAACAAAGCAGGGGACUAGGCAUUCAAGGCCUUCACGGCGGGCCUCGGCGUCGCCACCAUCUAUCUCGCCACCACCUUCUCCGUCAAUGUCUAGCGCGGCCUCUCCUGGCAUAACGCCCAAUCGGUCUCUCCCUCUCUCUCACACACACACAACCCUAUGAUAUUUGUCUGUAACUCUUGUUGGUGAUGCUUUGUGGUGAUUAUGCCUAAUUUUCAUGCGAUCUGUAUUCGUCAGUCUUCUAAUGAGGCUUACGUGACUCUUCUAUACGGCGAUGAGUUCUUACCGGGUGUUCGAGUUCUCGGGAAGUCGAUUCGGGACACAGGAUCUACUAAGGACAUGGUUGUUCUUGUCUCUGAUGGUGUUUCGGAAUAUGCCACGAAGCUCCUCUAGAGAGGACAUUGUCAAUAUGAAGUUGUUGCUCACCUGGUAGAGGUUGUGGACUUUAGAGUAUUAAAAUUACCAGUUAUUUUCUCUAUUUCGCUGCUAAUAAAAUUGAGGGAAUUUUUCUUUUGAAUCUUGUGUUAAGUUAUUUUGGUUUUAAGAUUAGAACAAAUCCAUAAGAAACUCACUUCAAUCAGUUGAGGAGAGGUUUGUUGCUUUUUCUAAUAAUAUCUGGUUUCUAGUCGUAACUUAUGUUAUUUCCUUAUGCUUUCUUGGUUGAUAGAUAUUGUUUCUUGGUUGAUACAUAUUCUUUUUAUCAAUUGGCUAAUUUAGUUUUUGGGAAUAGACAAUUAUUGUUUCUUGGUUGAUAGAAAGGUUCCUAUUAUU